rnacentral:lncRNA from 1 species
CAUUUCUUGUGGUCCAUAUGGGUUACCUUUUAAGUCGUAUUUGGAUGUAAAUGAUUACUUUUUGUUGGAAACCCCAUUUCUUUUUAAAAUGCCAUUGUAUCAUCAGCAAAUGAAGAUAUCUUGUCAUCAUUAGUUUUUCAAGAAAUUACCAGAAGAACACAUUCCUGAGAAUAUCAAGAAAGGACACUCUAACCAAGAUAACUGGGUCUUACCCUUGGAAUCUACUUUGGUACCACAUUUCCUUUGAAAAGUCAGGCAAGAGACUGCUGUAUACGGAACAAACUACAAAAGAAAUCUCUAAUGGUUUCAUAAUAGCCUAAUGUGCUCAAUUUGUGCUGGAAAACUCCUUUUUGUCCUUAGCUAUAUCCUUCCAUACAGUUCACGUGCACAUGAACGAUUGCGUGAAUAUGCACCAUGUGCUUCAGCCUCUAGGUAAGAUUAAUCAUACUGCCCUUUCUCAGGAACACUUUUUCUUUCUGGAGGGAGCUCACCCAAAAGAUGUCCUAGAACACUUUAAGCCUGGGGGUAAAUGCUAUCCUAACCCUCACACCUUGAUAGAGAGCAUCUACUACAUUCAAGCUGUUUUAAAUUUUGCCUAAUUAUCUGCAUGCCAGAGGGCACAAGGAGGAACAAGUAGCCAUAGCUUAUGGAAGAAGUGCCG